GCCUUCGUGGUGCAAUGGUAGCACACUCGGCGCGUAUUUUAGAGGUCCAGAUUCGAGUCCAGGCGAGGGCA
rnacentral:tRNA from 1 species